CACGUGCGCGCACUGUGAUUCGUGGUGGGAAUUUUACCUUUUUAGGCAAGGCGCUGUGUUAAGGCAGGCGUGCAGGAGAAAAGAAGAGCAGUGAUAUUAACAGUCAUUGGACCACCCACAGAUGCCGCAGAUGAGCAGGAGAGACCAGAGAACACCCGCACUGCACCGGAGAACAGGUAAGUGGGACCUGGCGUACACAUAACCCAUGGGGCCCCGGUGCGAAACUGAUUCACGGGCCCUCCCUCCUCCCCCCCGACAGACAGACACACAUACAGAUACAUAUAUACAGACAGG